rnacentral:rRNA from 1 species
AUUGAACGCUGGCGGCAUGCUUUACACAUGCAAGUCGAACGGCAGCACGGACUUCGGUCUGGUGGCGAGUGGCGAACGGGUGAGUAAUACAUCGGAACGUACCCAGUAAUGGGGGAUAACUAUCCGCAAGGAUAGCUAAUACCGCAUACGCCCUACGGGGGAAAGAGGGGGAUCGCCAGACCUCUUGUUAUUGGAGGGCCGAUGGCUGAUUAGCUAGUUGGUGGGGUAAAGGCCUACCAAGGCAACGAUCAGUAGCGGGUCUUAGAGGACGAUCCGCCACACUGGAACUGAGACACGGUCCAGACUCCUACGGGAGGCAGCAGUGGGGAAUCUUGGACAAUGGGCGCAAGCCUGAUCCAGCAAUGCCGCGUGCGUGAAGAAGGCCUUCGGGUUGUAAAGCGCUUUUGUCAGGGAGCAAAUCCUUGUGGCUAAUACCCACCGGGGAUGAGAGUACCUGAAGAAUAAGGACCGGCUAACUACGUGCCAGCCGCCGCCGUAACAC